CCGCCCUUAGCUCAGCUGGAUAGAGCAACGGCCUUCUAAGCCGUAGGUCGCAGGUUCGAGCCCUGCAGGGCGGACCA
rnacentral:tRNA from 3 species